CGCUUGUCCCCUAGGAGUGUAGCGGUUUCGUUGGGCUUCCAGCUGCUUGAGCAGCUGUGACUGCUGUGCUAGAAGACAGGAUUUCUCUGUUUAGCCCUGGCUGUCCUGCAACUGGCUCUGUAGACCAGGCUGGUUUGAACUCAAGAGAUCUUCCUGUCUCUGCCUCCUGAGUGCUAGGACUAGAGGUAUGCGAUACCACAGCCAUCACAGCUGCCGUCCAGAUGUUUGAGGCCAGAAGAGGCCAUGGACCCCUCAGUGCUACUUGCUUCAGCUUCCUACUAUUAAAGGGGGUCAAACUGGAAGAGCAACACUCACACUUCACCACCAAGCUCAUGAGUCUUUCCAACCCAUACACCUCUCUACUUCUGUCUCUCUCUCCCUCUCUCCCUCCUUCCCUUUCCCCACCUCUCAUUUGUUUUUGUUUUGCUUUUGAGACAAUGUCUCAGUAUGUAACUUUGGCUGACCUGGAACUCACUGUUGUAGAUCAGGCUGGCCUCGAACUCAGAGAUCUGCUCCCCUGCCUCCUGAGUGCUGGGAUUAAAGGUAUGAGCCACCACGCCCAGCAAAAUAAAUUUAAAUGUC